AAAUCACCAAGUUCUAACCUCCUUAAAGCCAAUUUCCUCCUCCCUUUGGGCAAUAUUCUUCAAGGAAAGUUUUCUGCAAAAGGAUGAUGGUAAUCCUACUGGUGAAAGUAUUGAUGAUAUUGCAUAGUAGUGGAGGUCAAGGGCCGGAGACGCCAGCACUUCCAAUGGAUCUUCCUCUUGUGACAGAAAGAAAC